AUGAGCGCGCGCCCAUUGUUGACGCGCCAGGCCCCGCCCCCCGCCGCAGCCUCGCGGAAUCCCGGCCGCGCCGUCCGCUGUCCCCCGAGGGGAGGCCUGGGCGGGCCGCUCCUGACCUCCGCUCCCUUCCUUUCCCGUCGCGGACCUCCCCGGGCUCUGCCACAGACUGUCGUCCCCUCGGUGGGCGGCUCCUCGGCCGCCCGGCCCGCCCCGCUUCGGGCCGCGCUGCCCAGGGCCUCCGGUCUGCGGCGGCCCAGCCGACGGCCACCGUCUUCGCCCUCGGCGUCGCCUCCGCCCGGCCGACGCCCCAGCGAGGCGCUGCCCGGUGCCAUGUCCGCCUCCGGAGACCCAGGCCAGGCCCCAGGAGGCCAGGAUAGCCCCGUGGGCGCCGUGGGGGCGUGGGCCCCAGUGGCCGCUGGCGGUGGCGGCGGCGGCAACGGGGUGGUCCUCGAGUCCGGGCCCCAGCAGGCGCAGGCGGCCGGAGUCACCGGGUCGGCGGGAGGCGUCGGCAUGGAGGUCGUGGGUCUCCAUCUGGCCAUCGACCCCGAGGGCGGCGGCGCCCACGCCGAGGAGGCCGAGGACGACUCGGACUUCGGGCCGGCGGACGAGGACGGGGAGGAGGCGCCGGAGGACGACCUGGACAUCCUGGUGGACGCCCAUCAGUUCCCCAUGGUCAGUUUCCGUUUCAUGUUCCUGGACUUGGUGCACUCGCUGCUGCACCGCAUCAACUGCAACAACCAUAUCCUCGUGCGGCCCCGCGGCGGCGGCAUGGUGGUCCCACCCCAGCCUCAGCUACGCGACAGCCUGGGCCAGCACCCCGUGCCCCUGGCUGCGCUGCCUACACCUGCAGCGGCCGCCGACGUCCACGAGUCCGAGGCCUCGUCCGAGGAGGAGGCCGACUGGGAGACGGCGGAGGAGCCGGACGAGGAGCCGGAGAUGGGGCCGGCGGCCGCCGAUGGGACAACUCCAUACCAGUAUGAAAACUCUGACAAAGAGGCCCAAGGCUCUGAGAGGGGGAAAGAAAAAGAGAAAUUUGACAAUAAACAAGACGGACCUAACUAGAAGGGAUCCGGCCCAACAGAGAACAGGGCCAGAAAAUCCAG
rnacentral:lncRNA from 12 species